rnacentral:rRNA from 1 species
UUGAGGGAAGCUGCUCCUAGUACGAGAGGACCGGAGUGGACGAACCUCUGGUGUUCCGGUUGUCACGCCAGUGGCAUUGCCGGGUAGCUAUGUUCGGAAGGGAUAACCGCUGAAAGCAUCUAAGCGGGAAGCCUCUCCCAAGAUGAGAUCUCACUGGGAAUUUAAUUCCCCUGAAGGGCCCUUGAAGACUACAAGGUUGAUAGGCUGGGUGUGGAAGCGCAGUAAUGUGUGAAGCUAACCAGUACUAAUUGCCCGUGCGACUUGACCAUAUAACACUCAAGC